UACGUAGGCAGCAAGCGUUGUUCGGAAUUACUGGGCGUAAAGAGCGCGCAGGCGGUCUGCCAAGUCAGAUGUGAAAGAGGCCGGCUUAACCGGCAAGGGUCAUUUGAAACUGACAGACUAGAGUGCAGCAGAGGAUAGCGGAAUUCCCGGUGUAGUGGUGAAAUGCGUAGAUAUCGGGAGGAACACCAGUGGCGGAAGGCGGCUAUCGUGGGCUGCAACUGACGCUGAGGCGCGAAGGCUAGGGUAGCAAACAGG
rnacentral:rRNA from 1 species